UAAAGUAUGCAUCGAUGCUCGUUAACACACUUAAUUGAAAAUAUAAAUAAAAAAUUCAAAUUUCGAACGGAUCCUUCGAAAAAAAAGCACAUCUUAAAUCCAACAGGAAACAGGGAGAAAUCGUGAGAAAACCGUUAACGUAAAAUACAUGCAUAUGGCCGAUAAAUAAACACGUCAGGAUUAUUAACGAGUCGAUACGAUACGAGUGACCACACGCGUGAUUACGUUAAUGCAGGUAAAUGCGUUUCCGUGUCGCAUUAUCGAAUUCGACUCGCGUAUCAGUCCUUGUUAAUAACUUUCCUUUCCCCCUAUUUUUUAUUUUUAUUCUUUUUUUUCUCCUCCUCCUCCUCGGGCGACUCGCACCGCGUUACCUUAGUUAUCUCAUCGAUUCCUCUGGUCUGGAACUGGGUAAAAAUAAACUGUGGGCCCGCGACAAAGGCAGCAAAGAAAGCGAAGGAGAAGGAUGGCGAGCGAAAGGGUACUCGCGUAUUCGUUGCCCGUUCGCUGCGUUGUUCAUCGGCGUGAAUGUUAAACGGAUCGUUCCCUCGGUCGCUACGUACGUCUAAAGUGUCCGGUUUAUGGACGUUCCUCGGGAGGAAUAGCAGCCCGCUGGUGAAUCGGCGUGGUGACCGGUAGUCGCUCGAAAUGACGUUAACAAGUUGAUCCACCGCCGGAAUCUUACUUCGAUUUUCGAAUUUACGUUGAAUGUGUAAUCAUCCGCCAAGCCCCUUCGUCGCCGAGGAUCGAAAGUUCGUCACGCGAAGGGAUAAAAAAAAAAGAAGGGGUGGAUAUUUUUGCGGCAAUAUCUCGAACUGCGGAUCGACGACGACGAGCUGCCAACAAUUAAUCCGGGCGGACAACGGCGUGGAACUGUGGACCGUAACUCUAUACCAAACGUGGACCCCUAAGUUGGAGCUUAGAGAUGAAGCAGCCAAGCAAGGAUGGAGGAGGGGGGCGACUAGGUUCUGAUCUCGUAUCGUAUUUCGUGUUAUUCAAAUGCCAACAAUGCCAUUAAAGGAUUUCUCUGGUAAUCCCUCGGCCCUUGGAUGCUUGCACGAUGGCGAAAACACCAAGAGGCACAAAGAGCGUGUACAAGGACAGUAAAACGGACGCAAACAGCCACGGGACAAUACGAGCGGAUUGUAUCUGCGAGCUUUGUUCCUUCCGAUCGGCCACUGCCUGCCCUGCCAUCGCUUCUCCCGCCAUCAAGGGCACGAUCUUCGUGGAUCGUGCUAUCGUGGAUCGCGUGUACGUUUUAAUAUCGAUGAUAAUGGUAUUAGAGUAGAUUUUGUUGUAUUAAUUAACGUUUCGAAAGAAAGAUCGAUAUUUGGCUAAUGGAUUGGAUUAGAAGAGGAUUUUUUAUUUUCAAUGAAAAAAAAUUGUACGUUUUAAUUCGAAAUAUUGUAAUAUAUCGAGGAUAAUAGAAAAAUUAACGAAGAUGAAAAUUUAAUAGAAUAUUCAACGUUCGAAUAUAAUAAUAGUAGGAAAAUUUAUGUUAGGAAUGCACCUCGAAAGAUUAAAAGAAAAAUCAAAGAUGAACAAAUGGAGUAAUAUAUCUAUUCGAACAUACAGUUUCGAUAACGAUAAAUCGAUUUGUUUGAUAUAACAGAGAUUACUUUUUUUUGCGUAUCAAUAAGGGGGUUGUUUUUAGCGCACUUAUCGAGUUACACGACACAGGGGAAGAGGGCAAGUGACGUUUUAUUCGAGAACGAAUGUCGAUGGUUUUGUAGGAGUCUCUAAAACGGAGAGAAAAUCGGGAUCAGAUGGGGAUGAAGUCAUCACCGGUGGAGCGAAACAGCAGCCCCGGCAGGGCUGUUGGCUCGGAAACAAUCACAUUAUACUUUGUACACCGAGCUCUUCCCCUAUACACAUCCCUCUCUCGGGGUGGACCGACGUAAUGUAAUGAUUCCUUAUUCCUUUAAGCUGAAAGAAUUAACGACUGGAGGACCCUUAAUGCAUUAAUUAAGUCAUCUUCGUCCGGUAUUACACUGGGUGGAAGAUAUUAAUCGCUACUUUGCGUUUGGGAUAAGAAAAAAGUUUUUUAAUCAUCAAAAAUUAAAAAAUACGUGGAGAUGAUUAAAUAUUUUCUUUUCGAGUUUCCCUCUUUUUCUUUCCUUUUCAAUUUCUCUACAAAUUCUACAAAUUCAGAUCAAUUUACAUUUCUAGAGAUAUAAUAAACAUCACCUAAUUACUUACAAUCGUAAUGAAACGUAAAUAUUGAUCCAAUAAAAAAAAAAAACGUAAACUUAAACCAUAAAACUGGUACAAAUUCCACAAUUUCUUGAAAUUAAAACACAAUCAUAAGUCAUAAAAUGAUAUGCGACUAACUUAUACGUUAUUCCAUGAAUAUUGGCGAGCGUUCAAUUUGUAAUAAAUUCCAGGCGAGAGAAGACCGGGGCCAGGGAUCAUUAAGUCCGGUAUUAUAAAUGCAUUAAAUACUGGGAGGCGAUGGGAUGAGUCAGAGUCGAAGGCAACGGGAAGUGGGAUUUCGGGAGGGUGGCAGGUGGCGCCAAUUUUACGGGCCGACGGCUGUGACGGAUGUAACGAGACGCAGUUCUGCGCGAGAGUUCGUCACACGUGGUCGCUUCGCUGGGCACGAUGUCAUGGAUGGUUUUAUGGGAAACGGAGGGAUGCUACGUCCGCGAGAUCAAAAAUCAUCCCCUUGGAAACCGAGGAAGCGGUGCACGUUUGAAUCGAAAGAGGAAAUGUUCAAGUGCGUUGAAUAUUUGGAAUCAACGUGUUUGUUUCAUGAUUGAUUGAAGAUAAUUUGAUUUAAUUCAAUAAAAAGUAAGAAUUUUCAAUUACGUGGUUUCCAUAAGUGAUCUAAAUAAAUGCAACUGGAUAAAAAAGUUAGUGUUUACGGAAUAGCUGAUAGUCUCAAGUUUGUGUAAUCAGUAACCAACGUCCCGCUGUGGAGCAUAGAAAUGGGACAUCAGCUGUUGAUCUACUGGCCUAUAAACUGUUCACACAGUUUCUAUAAUAUAUGCAACUUUGACUUUACCACGCAAGGAUACUAAAAGAGUCAAGAUAAAUAUACUCUUUACUCUGAUUUUACUCAUAAAAUUCUAUACCGCUUCUAAAUCUUGAUACUUGGCUGUAACCCUGUUUUUCGUUAAUAUUCAAUCGACUUUUCUAUUUUUCAUCGUUCACAGUAACUUUAUCAAUGCUAAAACAAAAUAUUCCAAUCCCAUUAUUCUUACAAUCUACAAACCACUCACUCGAACCUACUUCUCAUCGUUAUACUAACCAAAUGGAGUAACCUUUCUCUCUCGCAAACCCAUCAAUUCUGAAUCGAAUUCCAAGCACCGAUUGCAACAUCGAAAAUAUGUAAAUAUACAUUUUCAAACACCCAAAUACUCACAUUAACACAACAAACCGAUUUAGACUUAUGGUAAACGCGAGCUGCUGGAUACGUUCUCCAUUAUAUGGAUCGUUAAUCAUCAUCCACCCAAUCUUAAACGGUUCCAUUCCACUUUAUAUACUUUAAAAACAGCCUUAUCGACCACUCUCUCCCUCUCCCUUUACCAACUAACUAGGAUCUACGUGACUGGACAACUGGUUGCGUGCACGGUAUCGCGGCGCACACUUUUGCCGCGC